GGAUGAACGCUGGCGGCGUGCUUAACACAUGCAAGUCGAACGAUGAAGCCCAGCUUGCUGGGUGGAUUAGUGGCGAACGGGUGAGUAACACGUGAGUAACCUGCCCUUAACUCUGGGAUAAGCCUGGGAAACURGGUCUAAUACCGGAUAGGAGCGYCYACCGCAUGGUGGGUGUUGGAAAGAUUUAUCGGUUUUGGAUGGACUCGCGGCCUAUCAGCUUGUUGGUGAGGUAAUGGCUCACCAAGGCGACGACGGGUAGCCGGCCUGAGAGGGUGACCGGCCACACUGGGACUGAGACACGGCCCAGACUCCUACGGGAGGCAGCAGUGGGGAAUAUUGCACAAUGGGCGAAAGCCUGAUGCAGCGACGCCGCGUGAGGGAUGACGGCCUUCGGGUUGUAAACCUCUUUCAGUAGGGAAGAAGCGAAAGUGACGGUACCUGCAGAAGAAGCACCGGCUAACUACGU
rnacentral:rRNA from 1 species